AGUGAACGCUGGCGGUAGGCCUAACACAUGCAAGUCGAACGGCAGCACAGUAAGAGCUUGCUCUUACGGGUGGCGAGUGGCGGACGGGUGAGGAAUACAUCGGAAUCUACUUUUUCGUGGGGGAUAACGUAGGGAAACUUACGCUAAUACCGCAUACGACCUACGGGUGAAAGCAGGGGAUCUUCGGACCUUGCGCGAUUGAAUGAGCCGAUGUCGGAUUAGCUAGUUGGCGGGGUAAAGGCCCACCAAGGCGACGAUCCGUAGCUGGUCUGAGAGGAUGAUCAGCCACACUGGAACUGAGACACGGUCCAGACUCCUGCGGGAGGCAGCAGUGGGGAAUAUUGGACAAUGGGCGCAAGCCUGAUCCAGCCAUACCGCGUGGGUGAAGAAGGCCUUCGGGUUGUAAAGCCCUUUUGUUGGGAAAGAAAGGCAGCAGGUUAAUACCCCGCUGUUCUGACGGUACCCAAAGAAUAAGCACCGGCUAACUUCGUG
rnacentral:rRNA from 1 species